rnacentral:tRNA from 1 species
GCCCGCUUGAUGGAAUGGUAGACAUAACGGACUUAAAAUCCGUGCGCUUCGGCGGUGCGAGUUCGAGUCUCGCAGCGGGCACCA